rnacentral:rRNA from 1 species
GUCUGCAACCCGACUCCGUGAAGCUGGAUUCGCUAGUAAUCGCGCAUCAGCCAUGGCGCGGUGAAUACGUUCCCGGGCCUUGUACACACCGCCCGUCAAGCCAUGGGAGCCGGGAGCGCUUGAAGUGCGUCGCCGCGAGGCGCGCCCUAGAGCGAGACCGGUGACUGGGGCUAAGUCGUAACAAGGUAGC